rnacentral:rRNA from 1 species
GAUGAACGCUAGCUACAGGCUUAACACAUGCAAGUCGAGGGGUAACGAGAGGAAAGCUUGCUUUCCUUGUUGACGACCGGCGCACGGGUGAGUAACGCGUAUCCAACCUGCCCCCAACUAGGGAAUAACCUUGCGAAAGUAAGACUAAUACCCUAUAAUUUCCUCAGAUGUCAUCUGACGAGGAAUAAAGAUUUAUCGGUUGUGGAUGGGGAUGCGUCUGAUUAGCUUGUUGGCGGGGUGACGGCCCACCAAGGCAACGAUCAGUAGGGGUUCUGGGAGGAAGGUCCCCCACAUUGGAACUGAGACACGGUCCAAACUCCUACGGGAGGCAGCAGUGAGGAAUAUUGGUCAAUGGGCGGAAGCCUGAACCAGCCAAGUAGCGUGCAGGAUGACGGCCCUAUGGGUUGUAAACUGCUUUUAUACAGGAAUAAAGUUAGCCACGUGUGGUUAUUUGUAGGUACUGUAUGAAUAAGGACCGGCUAAUUCCGUGCCAGCCGCCGCCGUAA